rnacentral:lncRNA from 1 species
CGCGCAUUCCAUGAUCUAGAUCUUAGGAAUAAGAUUGAAUGCUUCAUGCAUAGGGUAUUUAAACAAUCCCUAAAAUGGUUCCUCUUCAAACAGAAGGGAGCUCGAAUGGAAGAAGAAGUCAAUUGAAGGGUUGUGAGCAGCAUACAAAAAGGAAGAGUGAGCGUGAGGCCGAAAGAGCAGUUUUUUUAUCAAAAAAAGGGAGGAAUCGAGUUCAUUGCCGUGGCGUUGAGGUAUUCUAAAGUCAGACUUGGGCAAAAAUAGUGUAGAAACCCAACCCUAGAUCUCGGGUUCAAGUUUUUUAAUAUG